rnacentral:rRNA from 1 species
UACGAAGGGGGCUAGCGUUACUCGGAAUUACUGGGCGUAAAGGGCGCGUAGGCGGCACGAUUAGUCAGGCGUGAAAUUCCCGGGCUCAACCUGGGGGCUGCGCUUGAUACUGGUGAGCUUGAAUGCGGGAGAGGAUAGUGGAAUUCCCAGUGUAGAGGUGAAAUUCGUAGAUAUUGGGAAGAACACCGGUGGCGAAGGCGGCUAUCUGGCCCGUAAUUGACGCUGAGGCGCGAAAGCGUGGGGAGCAAACAGG